UAAUACGGAGGAUGCAAGCGUUAUCCGGAUUCACUGGGUUUAAAGGGUGCGCAGGCGGACAUUUAAGUCAGGGGUGAAAUCCUACAGCUUAACUGUAGAACUGCCCUUGAUACUGAAUGCCUAGAGUAAAGUUGAAGUGGGCGGAAUGUGUUGUGUAGCGGUGAAAUGCUUAGAUAUAACACAGAACACCAAUCGCGAAGGCAGCUCACUAAACUUUAACUGACGCUCAUGCACGAAAGCGUGGGGAGCAAACAGGAUUAGAUACCCUGGUAGUCCACGCCGUAAACGAUGAUCACUCGCUGUUGGCGAUAUAUUGUCAGUGGCUAAGCAAAAGUGAUAAGUGAUCCACCUGGGGAGUACGACCGCAAGGUUGAAACUCAAAGGAAUUGACGGGGGCCCGCACAAGCGGAGGAGCAUGUGGUUUAAUUCGAUGAUACGCGAGGAACCUUACCAGGGCUCGAACGCAGGAGGAAUACACCCGAAAGGAUGUAGCCAGCAAUGGCCGCCUGCGAGGUGCUGCAUGGUUGUCGUCAGCUCGUGCCGUGAGGUGUCAGGUUAAGUCCUAUAACGAGCGCAACCCCUAUUCAUAGUUGCCAGCAUAUUACGAUGGGGACUCUAUGAAAACUGCCUGCGCAAGCAGUGAGGAAGGUGGGGAUGACGUCAAAUCAGCACGGCCCUUAUGUCCUGGGCUACACACGUGCUACAAUGGCCGGUACAAAAGGCCGCAACUACGCAAGUAGAAGCUAAUCCCUAAAACCGGUCUCAGUUCGGAUUGGAGUUUGCAACCCGACUCCAUGAAGCCGGAUUCGCUAGUAAUCGCACAUCAGCCAUGGCGCGGUGAAUACGUUCCCGGGCCUUGUACACACCGCCCGUCAAGCCAUGGAAGCUGGGGGUACCUGAAGUCCGUAACCCUUAAGGAGCGGCCUAAGGUAAACUCAGUGACUGGGGCU
rnacentral:rRNA from 1 species